CCGUGACCUAACCAGGGUCUCCUUGUGAGUCGGGACCCUCCUCUCGCCGCCGCCACCUCCUCUCCUUCCUCGUCUCCUUCCACGCCCCUCCUCUGGCUUUCGAUCUCCGCCACCGGGCCUCCUCCUCUCUCCCACAGGCCUUGGGUGUGGCUCCGCGCGAGGCGCUACAGAUGAGAGGCGCGGCGGGCGGCCUUCGGGGAGCACCUGCCGUCGAGCAUGCGUAGACGCUUAUCAUCGUCGGCGGGCCACGAGCUUCUCCGGCACCGCCGCCGCGGUUGCGCUACCUCCAUCGUCUAAGCGAGUAUUGGAGGGAGGGCAUGGGCGUGAUUCCGGCGAGAUGUGGCUCGGGUAGAUGUCUGCGAUGCGGCAAUCAGAAAUCUUCUGUUACCUUCUCAGGAACUAGGCUUUGUCGCCUGUCAUGCUUCAAAGGCGUCAAGUGACAGUUAACACAACCAGGCCUUGUACAAAUUAAUGUCUACUUGAAAGGCUUUGUACAAAUCAAUGUCUACUUGAAGUCUCUCUCGCUGGUGCAUCUCUGUUUGGAGCACAAUCGAUUGGAAUGAGGAGCCAUAUAUGACAAUGAGAAGUUGUAAUAUGGAGAACAAUCAAUUAGAAACCAUAUAUGAAGCCGUAUACUCCAUCAACUGUAUACCGCAAUGAGAAGCUGCUUAGAUGGGCUUAUACUUAAUUUGUAUGCAACAUUUCACUUGCCACUGUAGUCGCUCUCUUGUUACUAGCAACCUUGGUCGCAUUGUAUUUCUUUCGUCCAUGUGCAUUUAACCAGUUGUCUUGGUCUACUGUGAAA